rnacentral:rRNA from 1 species
GACGAACGCUGGCGGCGUGCCUAAUACAUGCAAGUCGAGCGGACUGACUUGAGAAGCUUGCUUCUCAAUGACGUUAGCGGCGGACGGGUGAGUAACACGUGGGUAACCUACCCUAUAGACUGGGAUAACUUCGGGAAACCGGAGCUAAUACCAGAUAAUUGUUUUCUUCGCAUGAAGAGAAUUGGAAAGACGGUUUCGGCUGUCACUAUAGGAUGGACCCGCGGCGCAUUAGCUAGUUGGUGAGGUAACGGCUCACCAAGGCAACGAUGCGUAGCCGACCUGAGAGGGUGAUCGGCCACACUGGGACUGAGACACGGCCCAG